CCGGCUUGGCCCAGCAAUCUGCAGCUCUUGUCACCGGCCAGCACGCCUGGAUUCUAUUAACACUCCACAGGAGCACCCUCAGAACGCUCUGUGCAGGCAGGACCCCUGGCAGGACGUGGGACCAGGGGCCGCGCCGGGAAGCCCCUGGCAGGACGCAGGACCUGGGGGCCGCGCCGGGAUGCAAGGUGCCCCUAGCAGGCCAGGGAGCACGAGUGGGAGUGGCCCUGCUGCUCCCGUUUUGAGGCCCGAUCCAUUGCGGCAGGGACUUUAUAACCGGCGACACAGGCGGAGAACAGGGAGAAGGGGUGUGAGACCCUGGUACUGAAGAGAAGGGGAAGGUCGGGCGCAGGCCGCAGUCACGUAGCCUGGCGUGGGGGCUGCAGCAAAGGCUUCUGGGACCUGGACCAUUCUGCCCCCCACUUCCUUUCCAGUCGGCGACCCCGUUCCUGGCCAGGAAAGAAGCCGCGCUGCAUUUCACUAUUAUGGGAUAGGAGCUAUGCCCCGACUGGGGGGGGGGCACCAGCCCUCACCACCUGCAAGGAGUGAGACUCAAGCUUACUGAAGGGAGCGCAGGGAGAGCACGGCAGGGCCAGUCCAUCCCACCUGUGCGGGCAGGCAGCAAUGCAGCCCUGGGGGUGCCCCAGAAGCCCCAGGAGGUCGAAUGCAACCAGGGAGGACUGGCGGAAUCCCCUUCCAGCAAGCCCACCCCGCGGAUCAGGGAUGGCAUUCACAGCCUAGCCAUGGGGACACCCGCCACAGCAGGAGGGCCGAGUCCAUGACCAGGCGCAACUGUAAGUAGCAGCACCGGCAACAUCAGAGCCUACAUUUAUCAACACGGAUAUUACGUCCUGUCUCACGGAGAACGUCUUCACAUUAGUCGGCUCAGAGGGAAGGUGGCCUGCCGAUCUGUAUUAUUACCCCGAAAGGAAUUCCAUCAUGAAU